AUAAAAUUUUGUUGGGAUUUGUUCUCACUUAAUGUAGCCAUGCGAGUGUCAUUUGGCAACUAAUGAACUAAGAGUGUGCAAAGCCCCAAAUUAUGACAAAUGACAUAUUCAGAUGCCAUCAUAAAUAUCAACCACAUUUGCAAUAAUGCCAUUGUUUGUACUUUUAAGGGCCAAUUUAUCCUAAAUACUAGAAUCAUUUCUUCAAUGCAAUAUUUCUUCUCGUACUAUCAGGUGUUAGGAUAAUCAUUCAGAUGCAGAUAAAACAGGCAUAAAAUAAAUCAAAAGACUUAAGAGAAUUAAGUUCAGAGGGACUGCUUUACCACCCAGUGACAAAGAAUUGACCUUCUGUGAUGUAUGUACAUUUCUUUGGGUUUAAAGCUUUGCAACAUGAAGCUCAAUUUCUUCUGCUCGACUUUCCUAAGUUCAAGGGUUAGAAAAAAAAUAAGCAAUAUAUUUUAUAGAGUUAUUGUGGCAUCUACACUUAUUUCAAAUCCUUGUAGAAAUAACCUGAAGAGAUUUUGCAUUUAUUAUUUUUAAAUGCAAUUAAUUCAAAGUGUAGAUAAUUAGGUUAAAUGCUUUCAGUUGCUGGAUCUUACUGUACAGAAAAUAAAGUGUAUGUGUGGCAAGUUGACUAUGUUUAAACUUGAAGGCCCAAAACUCCUCUAUAUGAAAUAACCUUUUUACCAAUCAUACCCAGCUUUAAGAAAUGAGAUGAAUACCUUUCCUCUAAGAACUCCUCUUAGAGGAAAGGUAUUCAUCUCAUUUCUGAAAAGUAUACAUAGUCUUCUUUAGUUCUUGAGUCCUUUGUCUCCAAUACCUUGUGCAUUUCAAGAAAUAAUCUUUGAUGAUGAAAAAGUGUCAAGAAACCCAGAGCCACUCCCAAUAUCCUGCAUCUAGGACCUUUUCCAAGCUUUUGAGGAGAUUCAUGGUUGCAGCCCAGCCUUUCUUUUCCCUUGUCCUCAGAGAUAGAAGCAAGGUUUGGAAAAUUGACCAUAUUGCGGUACAUACUCCCAUAGUGAAUCAUAUCAGGGGCAUCUUGUACUGUACUGUACCAUGUUAUUUCAGACCUUCAUAACUCCUAUGGUGGCAUACCGUGGUAUCUGUCGUACCUAACGUGACCAAUAUGCCCCUGUAUCGUGCUAGUUCAAACAUUGUAUGGAAGGAACAGAACCCUACCAACCUUUAGACUAAAUUGGCUAAUUCCUCAUUCCAAGAAUAGAUUAAGAGGGGAUUUCACUCUCUUUAAGAUGCUUCUUUAACCUCAACUUUGGUCUUACCAAUAGUGGUGUCUUGUCUGUCUUAAUCGUAGCAUCAACUAAGAAGUCUCUUUUUCUGUCAUUCUGUUAAGAAUUGGAGUGGCUGCGCUGCCUUGUGGAUGCAUCCACAAGGGGAAAGAAGCUAUUGGAAUUCCAUGACCAGCACUGCAUGGAGGCUUCUUGAAUUAGGGAGCAUGUGAGCCUCAAAAUGCUGAUGAUCUACCUGCUCAUAGGAUGAAAAUAUGUGUUUGGCGAUAUGGCAUAUAUAGCAAAUAUCCUAUACAAAUCAAG
rnacentral:lncRNA from 1 species